GCCAGUGAGGAAUUUGCAGCCGGCUAAGUGGCACGGAGGGGUCUUGGGGGUUAUUGAGGGUUCGGGGUGGCGAGCUGGGAGUUGGGGAGCUGGGGAGUUGCUGUUCUGGAACAAAAAUCCUCUGCAUGCACAAUUUAAGCAGGAUUUAUGGCUGGCAAUAUUGCGAAAAGGAAGAUUUUCCCAGCAUUCUUGGUGAGUGUGUGAGUGUGCGUGAGGAGCGGGGAAAGGGGAUUGCCGGGGCACUGAAGCGACCAGUUCGUCGAUUGUGCGUGAGGGAAAUUAAAUUGCCAAAUGGCCAUUACCUUGGCGUACAAGGGUUAAGAAAGCUUUUGAGGUUAUGAAAAUUGCUAAAUUAUGUUAAUGCCUCCCCCUAUCUCACUUCCCUUUAUUUUUGGCUGGGUGUGAAUAUUGAAAGAUUUCUCAGCCAUUCGGCUCGCAUCUUUAAUGCAUAUAUUACCACCCUCUACACCCGAAUCAUCCCACAAUCAUUAUGCCCGUUGUCGUCGAAAUUGAUUGAGGAAUUGCCAACCGGGUCAAAGUGUCUGUGUGAGUCGCCUAAAAGCUGCACUGGCCGAAAACUGUAAUAAAGGGCAAGCUUGAUGUUAUCUUAAACGUUUAUAAGAUUUAAAGUGAGUUGACUCGCAUUAUACAAUUCGUUCAUAAAUAUUUCGUACUUCAAUAUAUAUAUAUAUAACUAUCCAAACACUUUUUUAUUGUUUCUCUCUGUGUAGGAGAAGAAGGAAUCUAAGGGUUCCACAUUUCUUUUGCACUUUAACUCGACUUGGGGCCAGGCAACCUGUCUUUGUUCGGUGACCCCUUUCUGUCCCGAGCUCAUGCAAAAGUUAUUGCUUUAGACACAACAAUGGCAACCCUGGCGGAGACAACGGCAUACAUGAGCAUUGUGUCAUGCUGCGUUGUGUUGUGCGGCUCUAAAUAUUUAAUAUAAAUCGUUGCCAUCGGCACUUGCCUGGUGACUAUGGAGCGGAUCAGAGGAGGGGCACUAAGUCAGGUUGUGCCUGAUUCAAUUUUCUUUUGCCAGCUUUGGCACAGAUUUAUCGCUUAUUAGAAAACACACUGGUGUCGGGAGAAGCAGAGCAGCUUAAGUCCCAAAAACAGAUGAUUAAGAACGGAAUCCAUUUCAUUCCACUAUCAUUGGCUAUUUCACAGGUGCCAGUGAACUUUUGCCGGUGUGCUACAUUACAUUUCUUAACAAUAAAAAUUAAAGUUGGCCAUAACGAGGCAGCUCCGACGCCGUUCGCUGAAAUUUCUAAGUCAAAAGCAGGCACUAUUAGGUAACACAUUCAUAAACUUAUUCCUGCUGCAUGCACAAACGAAUGACCAGAAUUGACAGGCCCAGCUUCUUCCAGCAAUAUCCAUCCAUCCUUGUGCAGGGACGAGGCAUUUGAAUAAAAUAAAUCCAGCCUGACAGUCCAUCGCCAGCGUCCAAGACCUUUUAUUUUUAUCAUAAACAUAAAAAAGUUCCGACUUCCUUGCCCAUUUGCCACAACCCAUUUCCCAUUUUCCAUUUCUUGUUCGCCGUCGUUUAGGCCAUUGAAAAGUUAAGUCGCGUAAUCGAUUGAUUUGCCUCGGCGGUGAUUUCAUUUUACGUUUUCAAGGUACGUCGAGGGCUAUAAAGUUUUGCCUUUUCUCCCGUCGACGUCCUCCGCCAAGCCUUUGUGCUCGAAAUUGAGAUUUAUUGCAGAAUUUGAAUUAUAAUGCAAUUUAUAAUAUAAAAUGGCAGCCGCCUCCGAGAUAUUGAGCAUGAUAAUGAUGAUGAAGCUGUGCAAGGGUUUCAUCGCCAACCAAGUUCUGGCGAGACGGUGAGUUGAGCUGAACUCGUCUUGGUCUUUUGUUGCUAAUAUUGUUGAUUCAAUUUGACUUCUGCUGCAAGGAUAGCCGGCAUUGUUCGCUCUGCCAUCGCUUACAUUAUCUGCUACACAAAAGCCGGUGAAAAUCGUUGGGAUUUGAAGACGUAUUAAAAUGACAAGCACUCUGAAUUAAUUUUGCAUUGCCGGGCGAAGGCUUCAGUUUAUGCCUGGGGCUAUUUGGGUGAGUGUUUUCGUGGUGGCAAGCGAAGGAACGCAUAAAUCAGCUUGGAGAGAUAACACUUCCAUAGGCGGCCCUUGCACAGGUACCAAUUCCAAGAAAAACCGGCAGUCAAAAUAUUUUUCCAGUAGCCUGGCAACGACGAAAAACAGAAGAAUAUUUAACUGAAAACACUCAUUUCCUGUAGUUAAUUGCACAUUUUCUAAACUUGCAAACUAUCAAACAGCAACAACGAGACCGAAAACAAAAACAGCUCCUGAGGCUGAAGUUUGCUCUUGGUCGGAGCUUUUCGGUCGGUUGCUGUGAGAAUUCAAUAUGUAAUUUUGAUUGAAAUAUGCCUGUUUGCCAAGCCCACACACCCAAGAAAACACAAACACAGAGACACGCUGAUCCAGGAAAACACAGCAGACAAGUCCUUGUGUUGGGAAACGAAUAACUUUUUAGUUGGCCCAAAUGCACUGGCAGAAAUCAGAUUGACCUGCAACAAAUUCCGCCCGCUGUCCUCCAUGCCGCAUUUCUCGCAGUGUAUUCCGGCGUCUAAUGAAGUGUAUGCGUUUGGCAGACAAGCUGACACCCCAUCCCAUCUCCUCCGACCAAGCCUAUAUUGCGUAUGUGCUAAGCCUGGCUGCUCAGCCCGAGUUGAACCUCCGUCGACCUGCGCCCUACGCCCUGCGUCCUUCAUCCUGGCUGUGCGGGCUUCACUGACAGAGAAAGCGCUGGGCGGAGAAAGUGUGAGGAGCGAGGGAAGACAGCUGCAUAGAAGCAACAACGCAAAGUAAAAGGCCCCACAGGGAAUCGUUAUGCGAGCUGGUGGAUAAGGACGAACUGGGGUGGCCGGUCGGAGCGUUGCAGUCAAAAACAAUGCAGGCAAAAAAGUUGCGGCAAAAUUGUUGUGCCGCUCUGGCUGAAAAAAAGGAGGUGCGGGGGACAUUGGAGUAGAAGAAAGCCAACUGAAAAGUUUAAGUAGAAGUAAGUACAAAACUAUUUUGUAAACACGCACACACCAGCAGAUCAGCAUGCAUGCAACACUCGAAAGUUUCAAAAUGAAGUGCAGCGUAGGUAGGGCCAGUAACGAGUGUCGAGUCCCGGAGUCCUUUACGGCCGGAGUCCUGGAACCCUUCAGCCUGACAGCCGGUGGCACUAGCAGGCAAUUCAAAACGUCAGUCAGGGGCCCAAACCCUCCCAGGAAAGGGGCAACUUAAUAACGGGGGAACUACAUAUAAACUUUAACGGUUAUUGGAAAGAAGGUGAACGAAGAUGUAUGCAUUGUAAAUACGUACAUCACUACAAGAAAUGUACCCAUUUAAUUAUUACUAAUGACAUUUAUCUUAAAAUCGUCCUCACAGAGAUACAUUUUAAAUGCGAUCGAGAAAUGGUGGGAACACGAAGCAGUAUGGUUGGGAGCUAAUCUAACGUGUUCUAAGUAAGAAUUGUUCGGUUAAUUUUUGAAGUAGUUGAUGUUUAGCAGAUGACUUAGUGCAUAUAACCUAGUACCACUGGACAGCUGGAGGCGUUUCUUAACUCGCUUUAAAGGCGGCUGUGGUGCCUUUCUUUGAGUCCUCGUUCGCGGGAAUAAAUAUCAAUUUGUAACAAUAGGACACUCGAGUUACUUACACUUAAAAUGUUACAUGCUGAAAAAGAAUAUAAGAAACAGUGCUACUUUUUGGAAAAAUGUUCCAAAAGUUCAGGCGGUUUGUUGUCGACUAUAGCGUUCUCUCUUGUUUAUUUCUCAAAAAGGUAGUAAGUAGUGUAGUAGUAGGAAUGGCAUUGUUUGUGGAGUAAGUUUUUUUUUUUGAAAGUUAAGUAUUUUACUUAAGCCAUUGGUAUUGUAUUUGCCUGAUUACAGCGCAUCCUUAUUUUAUAACGGAGACCCUUUACGUGUAAAGCCUUUUUGCUGAACUUUCGACUCCUAAGAGAGGGAUCCUGUAAACACAUUUGCAUAACUUAAUAUUGGUUCAAAGGGUUUAGCAAGGAGACGGUCUAGACGGACGAGUAAAUCCUGGUGCUCAGCUUCCAGAGCUUCGAUUUGCCCUUUUCUGCCUGCCGUGGCCGACAUUAGGCCUCUUAGAGACAGAAAUUGAGACCCAGGGACUGCACAUUUUAUUAUAAUUCAUAAGGCGUGUAGAUGGGAAUCAAAAGAGCGUCUGACAACUUACGGAGCCAACGGACCCAGGUUGGCAACUAAACGCAGCCGAGGAGGAAAAGGAAUCUAGUAAAAUAGUAAACUUUUUAUCAAGUCAAUUUUCUACGUUGACUGCAAACCACAACGGCAAGAUUUGCAGACAGGCCAAUGACAUAGCCAAGAAACUGCAUGAAACUUUUGCUGUCAUGUUUCCUUGUCCUCCAUUCAGCCUCAGUCCUGUUUUGGUCGGAUCAGACCAGACGGCGACUCCGACCUUUGCUGCCACAUUUUCGUUCCUUCGGCACUCGAUUUUUAUUCAAUUUCUGCUGGUGCUCCUCGAUUCCAGCUCAAUAAGCUGGAGCCAAGCCCGCCGGAUUAGAGUCCUGGGAGCUUCUGCGCUGGGAAUUGGGGAGUCCUUGAAGCAAAUUAUUAUUCAUUGCAGUGGGAGUUUACAUAAAUUACGCAUCAGGCGGCGUCCUGGCCAAUGGUCAAAUUGAUUCCCUUUAAAAGGACUUUUCUUUCUGCCAUAGAGUAAAACAAGAAUUUCAUUCUGCGUUUGACAUCUCUGUUGGCAGCUCUCCUUAGCCUGGAAACCUGUCAGUUAUUCAGUUAGCAGUUACCAGUUAGCAGCUAGCAGUCAGCAUUUUGCCACUGCUCAGCAGGUGCUGAGGUGCCAGGCGUUUGGGUCACAGACAGGAGCUCCUGUCAACUUCGGGGAAAGGGUACUGCUGGUCAGCCACUCGCAGUCUUCAGACUCCAAGUGUUGUGUCUGACAAUUGCCUCCGGUUGACUUUUUCACCUGGCCCCGGAAUUGUUUCAUAGUGUACGUUGCAGACGAGACUGCUAGAAAUAGGAAAAUCCGGAAGCACUGUUGCUGCUUACUUUUCCCAAGAAAAUUGCAGUCCCGCAGCAUUAACUUACAAUAACGCUGCGGGUGAGAGAAUAAAGAACGAUUUAAACGAAAUCCGUAAAGUGUGUCAAUGAGGUCGACGUGCGUUCGGAUGACAACUUGUUUGACAUAAUUCAAUACGCAGUUGGCAUCGCGUCCCUUCUUGACAGCAAUUAAAAACGCAUUUCCAUCGUAAUGCGAUAUCGGGGAACACGGGUGCCACACGGAAGAGAGGUCUCGCAAUUUGAGCUGCUCAACGCGCUUCCGAAGGGCUUAAAGUAAUAUACCCACAAGAGAGCCUGGCAGACAGCCAGGAUGAAGUUACCCUUGCCCUCACCCGGCCACCAAGGUUUAAAACAAAUAAUUGCAAAUAAAUGAUGUUCAUUGAAGGGAACAAUGAGAUGCAUUGACACUGGCGCGCACUGUCAGCUUCAUCGCAUCAGCAUCAGCAGCCCACGCUGCCCUUAAAUAUGAAAAUUAAAAUUACAAAAUGCACAAAUUGCAGCGACGUGGAGCGAGGUGAAGUGCAGCGAAAAUCAUAUUAAUAAAAAUAAUGAGUUUGCCGCUUCCUCUUUGGCAGCGGCUCCUGCGGAAGCGGCUUGAAAACCCGAUUAAAAAUUGAGCAGCGAGCAAGGACGUUAAGUAGAAAUGUCAAUAUGACAGCUGUCAUCCGACCAAAUGAGCGCGCGAGCUGAUGAGGGAUUUCACUUGAUGCCAAACGGCGGUGUAUGAAUUGCAUACGGGUUUAUUUGCUAAUACUUUUCAUUAUGCCUUCGAGAAGGUUUCAAGCGAUCACAAAUGUGGUGUGGCAAUGGGAGUAUAAUAGUCUAAAGGAUAAGCCAUUAACCCAGAACUGCCCAUUCUUACUAUUAUUUACAAAAUUCGGUAAUUAGCUGAGCUUUGCUUUCAGCAUUAUGGUUUUCUGUACGCAGCACCAGAGAAUUUCCUAUGUCGGAGCUGGAAGCUUAAUCUAUUAUUGCAGGAAUUAUGAUGCCGGCCAAUUCAGUUUGACUUAUUGAGCGGAAAAUGUUCAAUUACUAGAGUUUUAAGUCCGCAACAGCACAGAUUCAGGCAGCGAGAAAGGAGAGAGCAAUUUAAAUUAAACAUAAAUACAAGUUGGGUUAAGCGGGAGCUCAAAUGAACAGAUAGCGGGUGGAAAUCGCAGGUCCCUGGAGGACCGCCCUUCCGAUGACACUCCUUGCGACACGCCCCGUAAACUUUAUGGCAGUCAAUAAAUUACUUGGGACAAAAGCAAAUUAUUUUUUAAUUUCAGCUAACCACGCGUGGAAUCGCCUAUCUAUCUGGGACGUCGGCGAGGAACAAUCGACGGACGUUUGACAUUGAUUAGUUUUCGUGGAAUUUUUAAUACAUAUUUUUCCAAGGUGGCAAUCAGUUGCCCUUUUUGGCCCGCUGCAGCUCAGACGCCAGUCCAUUAGGCGGCCACGCUUCAUUUACUCAUUUCGUGCAAUUUCUUAAUAUCAAUUUUCUUUUGAUUUUCGGUCGUCGACUUGCCAGACACGCAAUCCCCUACACUGCCCUAAGGAAUCUCCCACACGCACACCCGAGUCCUGCGACUGCUGCUCCGUUGUCCUGUUCUGACAGCGAGUAAUUCGUUGUCGUUUGUGCUGGUCCCAACUUCCGCAGCUGACUUUUGUUGACUCCUCAGUUGUGGCAGCACGUGAGGUCUUUUGCGCUACUUUUGGACUUUUCAAGGUGCUGCUUGGCAGUGCCCGGUGUCAUUAGCAGCAUUUCUAGUAUCGAAUGGGAUAUCCCUUAACAUAUUUAAAUAUAAAAACUUUAAUUUCGACCAAAUAAGACAAUUUAAUAUACGUGUAAUAGAAAUUCGUUUUAAUAUUAUAAUUACUAACGUAUCUAAACCUGCGUCACUCAUAGUAUUUGCAUGCCUCUUGCAUGCCUCUACCAUCUACAGCCAAGAGCGGCAAUCAGUCUGGGAAUCAAAUGACCGAAAAUCGAAUAUCUGAAGGCCUCGGUAAGCACUUAAGUGCUACACAUAGCGGAGCCAAACGCGAAAACCAAACCCACGUCUAAUUUGCAAGCCUUUUUUAUUAAAAGCGCAAUAUUCGACACGGGUCUUUUUUCCGAUAGGGCUCUGCUGACUAGAACCUUUACGUAUAGUGGACAGUCUGCAACCGAUUUCCCAUUUCUAAAGCCCAUUUGUUUGUUGUGACAAACCACCAUAGUCUUCAGCAACUAUCUUAUCUAGUUUUUUGGAUAUAGAGAGGUUAAGCGUUAUGGGUCGGUAGGAAUUAAGAGUUGACUUGUUUUUUUGUAGAUGGGGAUUAUGGUGCUAGUCUCGUACAUGUUGGAAUUCGGGAUUGCAAGAUACUAUUGAAGAGGUAUUUUACUCAUAAUAUUCAGUUAUUUGAGGUGUGUUUCGUCAUUGUGUAAUUUUGUAAUUGUCUAAUUGAGUUCCAGGAACUCUGCAUUUUUAUAUGGCAAAUCAUAUUCGUUCAUCAAUUUUAGCUUGUUGAAUGUUAUUUGAAAAGUUUUUAUCCUCCGAGCGAGUAUACAACGCUUGAAAACGGCGUUUGCUAUUUUUUCCUGAUCUGUGACAAAAGAGUUUACAUAGGGAUCAUGGAUAAAAUUGAACGCUUUUGCAUUAUGUAAGCCACAAAUUGUUUCACAUUUUGUUGUGGGGGGAAAUGCUGGAAAUAAGUUUGUCUAUUUUUUAUUUAUUUCCCUUCUAUACUGCGCGUUAAUACGUUUGAAAUUGAUGUGUUUUUCAUUGUUAAUGUUCCUGUUAAUUUUUCUCCAGACUUUGUUUUUACUCUUUUUUAUUAAAUGUAGUUUAUUGUUCCACCAGAGAACGUUGAAUGGCUUUUCAGGUGUUUGAGUUCGGGGAUUGCUCUCUCUCACUUAUCGCGGGAGGACUAACAACAAAAUCUCAAACAUCGAGGGGGACUUUAAAGCUGACCAAUUGUUUUGGCAAAGCCCUUUCUUUUAAGGCUUCUUAGAGGCCUGGCAGGGAGUGAGCGUUUUGCCAGCAUGCUGUGGUGUCUUUUAAGCCGAUCACUAUAUCUGCUUGUGUGCCUUGAGAUUUGCUCCUUCACUGUGUGCAGAUUCAGGUCCCGAUGAAGGGUUGAGCCACGUACGUAAUAUGGGCAGUUGGCGAUGGCACGCAUUGCACGAUUUUGCAAGUUCUCUAUGCGUUUAUAGUUGGAUUUUGCAGCAAUACCCUAUACAGUGGACGUAGACUGCCCUUUUGGCUCUAAGUGUCAUGGUGCUUCUUCUAUUGAUCAACCAUCGUAGUUGUUGCAUUCUCUGGCCGCAUCUCCGAGCCGUAGCUUUUAAGUGUAAGUUAAAGGUCAACCGUUUGUCGAGAGUAAUCCCGAGGUAUUUAGCCUGCAGAGGUUGUUCUGGGAGAGUACUGCAGAGAGUUCUCCAGAGUAGGCCUAUAUGGCAGACUCUGUCAAAUGCUUGCUGCAUAUCAAUGAAUACAGCGUUGCAGUAUUCCAAGUCGUCAAACGCUUGUAGAAUGUGCUUAACCAAUCUGUAAACCUGCUCCACAGUGCUGUGCCCCUGCCGAAAUCUAAACUGGUGAUCUGGGAGGAUACGGCGCUCCUUAAUAAAGUCACCUAGUCUGUUGGCAAUCAGCCUUUCCCAUAUCUGGGAUAGCGAAGACAAAAGACUUAUGGGCCGAUACGAUUCCGGAUCCUCUUCAGGUUUCCCAGGUUUGUGUAUCAUAAGAAUUGCUGCCAUUUUCCACUGCUUUGGAAAGACUGCACCCUAAAUAUGGCGUUAAAUAUUUUCGCUUUGUACAUAUAUAAAAGCUCGGAGAGGUAGCGCUUUUAGCGUGGCAUUGCAGAUAUUGUCGAUGCCAGGAGUCUUCUUUAUUGGCGUUGAUUUAAUGACUUUGACAAUUUCCUCAACCCUGAUUGGUUUGAUAGGUAGCGGCAUUAGUAGGGGUAUCUCUAAGCUGUCAAGCGUCUCUCAAUUCUGCUCUGUUGUAGCAAAUUGGUAAUGGUAGAACCUAGUCUCCAAAUGAUUUGCAAAGAAAUUGGCCGGUUCCUCUUCAUUUUUAGCAAGUUCACCUCCCGGACAUCUAAUGGGAACCUGUCUGAACGGUUGUCUCUUAAGGGAUUUGGUGGACUUCCAGAGCCAGCUUUUGCUCAAAAAAGAUACGUUGAUCCUUAUCUGGCUACUUACAAAUAUACAUUACGCUUAUAUUUUACAUACAAACUAAUUAACAAGAUUUUUUUAAACUUAAGCCUAUCAGCUACUCAACUAAAGCGAAUGCUUUCAGUAAGAGAGUUAAUUGGGCGCAAAAUGGGUUCAUUUCCCGCAUAAACUAUCCUGACAGUGAUUUCAUUAAAUGGGACCAAAGUGCGUAGACUUCUUACCAGAAUAUUGAUAUUAAUUAACCCGAAAAUAUAAGACUAUCAAUGUUUCCGUUCCGUCAUUAUCAAAUAGCAGCCCAGCAAUCGAACGUAAUCCUCAAAUGAUCAGGUAUAGACGAGGCAGCAUUGGAUGAGAUAUGGAGGACGCGGAUCAGAGAAAUGCAGAGAAAUCAGAGUACUCAGAUAGACGCUAGUAUGCAUCUCUAAACUGCGCGGUAUUUUGCAUAACAAACACAAACAUUGCAUACGCCUUCAGAAGAAUAUAAUUCAAAUGCGCAGAAAACUGGGAUUUCCUAUCAAAAAGAACUCCCAGGUCCAAAAUCUUACAUAACAAGGACACAGUUCAUUCUUUAUGAAGUAAGAAGAAGCAAUUGUUGACAAACAUUUGCUUUAUGAAUGGAAUUAUUAUGGAAUUUCAGCAGACAUUUUUCCUGUUAGUAGUUCGUAUUUUUUCCAAUUUCCUAAUUUCGUAAUUAAAGUUCAUGUGAACAAAAUACAAGGUCGAUUUGGAUGAAUGAACUGUGUGUUGAAAAGUGUGUUGGUUUCCCAUUGUUCAGAAUCACAUAAUUACUGUUUAGCUAAAAUAAUUCUUUGGUUAUCCCCAUAGCGUAUUCCAGCUGUGAUUAACGAUUGGACGCUAGAGGCUGGGAACAUUGUUUCUAGGUCUCCUUGUGAGAAAUAUUUGUUUGAUUAUUUUUUUUUUUUGAUUCGACUUUGAGGGCAAUCGCUUUGAAAGUGUUUCCAGUAUGGAUCUGGUCAUGUCGAUCUGGUCAUGUCUGUCCGUAUGAACGUCGAGAUCUCAGAAGCUAUAAAUGCCACGCCCACUUCAACGGCCCCAAACCUCCCAAAUCUGCCACGCCCAAACUUUUAAAAAAUGUUUUGAUUUUAUUUUCAUUUUGUUAUUAGUCUUGUAAAAAUUAAUUUUAUUGUGGUGUUUUGUAAUUUCCAUCGAUAUGGCAGGAAUAUGUUAACAUUUCUCGUUCGCAUUCACUUUACAUGAGUAACGGGUACGUGAUAGUCUGUGAACUCGACCACAGAUUAUUACUGGUAUAAAUAUACUUUGAAAGGCUUUCUUCUCUUCAUUCCUUUCGUUUGUAACGAGAAAAAAGUUUGGAAAACUUUUUACAACAAAAAUGUUAACAUAUUUGGGGCCAUAUACAAAUUUUUUACUUCAAACUUCAACUAAACCUGAUUACACUUUGCCUUACCUACACUUUUUCCCACUGUACUGCUAAGCGAUGUUAAUACAAUUAAAAAUACCCAAUUUUGCCUCAGCUCGGCAGAGUCCCUAAGUUACUGACGGAUAUCCAAGGGCCUUUGUUUCUGUUGUCGUGAGUGUGUUUGCUGAUGGCAGGCAGCAUAGUUGUGUCAGGAUGUGGCAUCUUGCCACCGAUGCCGUGAUGCCAUUAGUCGUAAGUGGCGCUUUCCUUCUGAUUUAGGUGGCAUUUGACUUUAUUAACCAAAACUACUCGGAGGCUUCUUGGCCCAGGUGGCUGGGAUUGGGAUGGCCUGUGUAGGGUGUGGGGACCUGUCUACCUGGCAGCAUCGAAAUGGGUCAAUAUGUGUGCGCUCCACUUCGGGGCUCAUGUAAUAUGUAUUCAGUUGGCCGCAGUCGAGUGACAUCCUUGGAGAUUUCGUAGAAAUGAGUGAAGAAGAGGUCCUUGUUUGUAUUUAGGGGUGUUUGCAUUCGGCUUAUGCACGCGAAACCCGUAGGUUUAAGACGCUCCGUCUGGUUGUGACAUUUAUUUGGGCUUUGUUUAUUUAUUUUACUAAUGGAAUUAUUUCCUGCUCCUCUUGUACCCGUUAUCUUAAGAUUUUCUACGGCAGGACGUCAUAUUUUCUUUAUUUUGAUUCAUUAUAAAAAUGUAUUUAUAAUUCUCGUGGUGCCAAGCCAUUAGAUUCUUUUAAUCACUACUUGCCAAAUUGAUGUCGUUAACUUUAACCGUAAAAUUCGCAGCUGCGACUUGUCAAUGUCCCGUAAGAGCAGAAAAAUUAGCAAGCUGCGUUUUUGGAUCUUCUUUGCAUUGUCAAUGUGUCAGCGGCAGGAUAAUCGAAGGAAAAAAGACACAGAUGUCACCACGACGAAAUGCCGAAGGCAUCGUCAGCUGUAAAUCAUGUGAAAUGUACUAAAAUUACAAUGAAGAAGGCACAAGAAGCUCGAUGGAUAAUGUGCAGAAUUGGGGCGUUGCAAGGACAUUAGUGCGCGAUGCCAUUCUGUCGAAUGGAAAGAUGGAAUUGUUAUUUCAGCUUUUGAAUGUCUGUGCCAGAAGGGGUUCUGCUCGUGAUUUUCAUUCACUGACAGUUUUGACAUUUUCCACACUUAAUUCGGUUCUUUUCUUUGGCCUUUAUAUCGGCCACACAAUACACCUGCACUACACACUGAACUGUCGCUUCGAUUCUCAGGCGCAUCUUACAUGUUCCGUCAGCCUCGCAGACCAAAUACAUGCCCCCCAUUGUGUAUUAUUAUUGUAUUUCUAUAAAGGCAGGAAACGGAGGAACAGGAAAGGCUUGGUCCACUCGCAGGCCGAGAACUCCCAGAAAACGUAGUUAAACUCGAGAAAUUGCCAUUGGGUCGAAAUUGAAAGUAAAUUCGUUCCAGUAUCUUCUUCCAUGGCCCCCCACAUUGCUGCAGCACUUUCCAUGGACGCAAGCCUGAGAACAGACAUGUAAAUCAAUUUGUCGAAUCUUUUCUUAUUUUCGAUGUCCUUGUCUGACUUCUCUGGAACCUAGUGGCUGCAGUGAGCUCAAGGAAGAGAUUGAACGACCGGAGUAAAACAAUGAGUUGAAUAAAUGGAGAAGAGCUCUGGGGCGUGGCACUCACUACAUUUUAGAACCAACAAAUGGAGGGCCAGUUUUAAAAUCCAGUAAUCGUAGAAGAAAACUGAUUCAUCCCGGUAAUGUACAAAUUCAAAAUGUUCCAUAUAUCGGAACAUUGCAAUGUAAUAAACCCCAACGAUAUAUAAAAUUUUAAAAAUUAUAUGUGUAUUAUGUAAACAAAUACUUACUUUACUUUAUUUUAUAAAACUGCCAAUAGCGUAUGUUCUAGAAUUAAAUAUUGCUUAAAUAUACCUGAAUUCCAAA